rnacentral:rRNA from 1 species
UACGAAGGGGGCUAGCGUUGCUCGGAAUCACUGGGCGUAAAGCGCACGUAGGCGGAUUGCUAAGUCAGGGGUGAAAUCCUGGAGCUCAACUCCAGAACUGCCUUUGAUACUGGCGACCUUGAGUCCGGGAGAGGUGAGUGGAACUGCGAGUGUAGAGGUGAAAUUCGUAGAUAUUCGCAAGAACACCGGUGGCGAAGGCGGCGAUCUGGACGAUGACUGACGCUGAGACGCGAAAGCGUGGGGAGCAAACAGG